rnacentral:rRNA from 1 species
ACCCGCUGAACUUAAGCAUAUCAAUAAGCGGAGGAAAAGAAACCAACAGGGAUUGCCCUAGUAACGGCGAGUGAAGCGGCAACAGCUCAAAUUUGAAAUCUGGCGUCUUUGGCGUCCGAGUUGUAAUUUGCAGAGGGCGCUUUGGCAUUGGCAGCGGUCCAAGUUCCUUGGAACAGGACGUCACAGAGGGUGAGAAUCCCGUACGUGGUCGCUAGCCUUUACCGUGUAAAGCCCCUUCGACGAGUCGAGUUGUUUGGGAAUGCAGCUCUAAAUGGGAGGUAAAUUUCUUCUAAAGCUAAAUACUGGCCAGAGACCGAUAGCGCACAAGUAGAGUGAUCGAAAGAUGAAAAGCACUUUGGAAAGAGAGUUAAAAAGCACGUGAAAUUGCUGAAAGGGAAGCGCUUGCAGCCAGACUUGCCUGUAGUUGCUCAUCCGGGUUUUUACCCGGUGCACUCUUCUAUAGGCAGGCCAGCAUCAGUUUGGGCGGUUGGAUAAAGGUCUCUGUCAUGUACCUCUCUUCGGGGAGAACUUAUAGGGGAGACGACAUGCAACCAGCCCGGACUGAGGUCCGCGCAUCUGCUAGGAUGCUGGCGUAAUGGCUGU